UAUGAGGAGCAAAGGUGUGUAACACAUAUGUAUUUAGCUAGUGAAACCACUACCAGUCUUAGAUGUAUAACUGAUGAUGAUAAAGUUUUUUUUCUCUGCAUAAUAAUAGGAACCCAGACAGUAGCAUCGUUUCACAAUGUUUCAAUCACCAUCAUCAGUGGAUGCCUUUGCCGUCCGUAGCCUGAGAUUUCAGAUUUGCAGCAAAAAAAAUUUGAUUUUCUCAUUUAUUGGAAUGCUGUGCAGGUAUUUGUACCUUGCAGCCAUCCAUUACAAUGUCACCAAGCCGUAACAAAAGCAGGAGAGGGAAAGUACAAGGCAAUGUUCCCAAAACACACAAGUGACAUACCUUAUGUGGAUGAUGUGAUCAGGCUUGUGUUUGAUGAGGUAUUUGAAGAUAAGCUGAAGGAAACCCCGAUUCCAAGGACCUGGCAUCACAGUUUGAGAGACCUUCAAAGGAGGACGUGAUUGCAUGCCAUCUUCAGUGCAGGGGUCGUCGAAAGCCAAAAUUGUGACCGACCUGAUCAGGAAGCUCCAAGCGUAUCUGGAGAACAACACACGACAGGAUGAUAACCUUAUAGUGUCGUCUUAACCCUCAGAAACCUAAUCAAUCGUCGACGAUUGAAAACGGCACCUCUGAUUCAUAUUCAAAUAACUUAAUAACCGUAAAACGUAGCUUCUUACCGUUUUUUUCUGCUAAUAGCUGAGGAGUUAGCCAUCACGGGGAUGUCACUUGGUGUCUUUCUAGCUUUUACAGAAAGUUUUUUAUCCAGCCUGAAACUUGUCCCUCUUUUCGGAGUUGUUCAGCAAUGCAUCCAAACUCUUACAUCCUAGAUGUAUCCACUUGAUGUCCAUAAUUUAUCGAUUUUUCUAUCGGGUUUACCGCUAGCUAAAUGCUACAAUGUCCACUGAUGCUUUUUGU